rnacentral:rRNA from 1 species
AACGCGAAGAACCUUACCAGCCCUUGACAUCCCGGUCGCGGACUCCAGAGACGGAGUUCUUCAGUUCGGCUGGACCGGAGACAGGUGCUGCAUGGCUGUCGUCAGCUCGUGUCGUGAGAUGUUGGGUUAAGUCCCGCAACGAGCGCAACCCCCGUCCUUAGUUGCUACCAUUUAGUUGAGCACUCUAAGGAGACUGCCGGUGAUAAGCCGCGAGGAAGGUGGGGAUGACGUCAAGUCCUCAUGGCCCUUACGGGCUGGGCUACACACGUGCUACAAUGGCGGUGACAAUGGGACGCGAAGGCGCAAGCCCUAGCAAAUCUCAAAAAGCCGGCCUCAGUUCGGAUUGGAGUCUGCAACCCGACUCCAUGAAGCUGGAAUCGCUAGUAAUCGCGGAUCAGAACGCCGCGGUGAAUACGUUCCCGGGCCUUGUACACACCGGUACUA